rnacentral:rRNA from 1 species
UACGUAGGCAGCGAGCGUUGUUCGGAGUUACUGGGCGUAAAGAGCUCGUAGGUGGUUUGUCGCGUUGUUCGUGAAAACUCACAGCUUAACGUGGAGCGUGCGGUCGAUACGGGCAGACUUGAGUUCGGUAGGGGAGACUGGAAUUCCUGGUGUAGCGGUGAAAUGCGCAGAUAUCAGGAAGAACACCAAUGGCGAAGGCAGCUCUCUGGGACGGUACUGACGCUGAGACGCGAAAGCGUGGGGAGCGAACAGG